UACGGAGGGUGCGAGCGUUGUCCGGAAUCAUUGGGCGUAAAGGGCGCGUAGGUGGCCCGGUCAGCGUGCGGUGAAAGCUCGGGGCUCAACCCCGAGUCGGCCGUGCGAACUGCUGGGCUCGAGCACUGUAGAGGCAGGCGGAAUUCCGGGUGUAGCGGUGGAAUGCGUAGAGAUCCGGAAGAACACCGGUGGCUAAGGCGGCCUGCUGGGCAGUAGCUGACACUGAGGCGCGACAGCGUGGGGAGCAAACAGG
rnacentral:rRNA from 1 species